rfam:Drosophila grimshawi strain TSC#15287-2541.00 scaffold_15245 genomic scaffold, whole genome shotgun sequence.
ACCCCAUGAUAUUAAGCCGGCAGACGCUUGUAAUUUAACCAGCGGCGUCUGUGACUAUGACUGGGAACAGUAAAGCCGCUGAUGUGUGUAUGUUGGAAUUGCGCUUUAUCUGCGCAUCUGACAAAGAUUUAUUCAGACUACA